CCAUGCACAACACGCACACCCAUGCACACACACAGUCUUCUCUUUGUGCUUCUUCUCUCUUUAGUAUAUAUUCUGGGCUUCAUCCCUAUGAGAUUGGUAUUACAAAUCUCACCGACUCAACCAUGUUUGCUGUUGUGAUAGAAAACGAAGCAAGCAAGAGUUAUUUAUCAAGAUCCAUAUUAGAAUCUUGUUAUGUCACUCCAUGAAAUUGUUCGUCAGAAAUUGAACUGCCUUAUUUAAUCCAUGGAGUGACAU
rnacentral:lncRNA from 1 species